UACAGAGGUGGCAAGCGUUGUUCGGAAUUACUGGGCGUAAAGCGCGUGUAGGCUGCUCGGAAAGUCGGAUGUGAAAGCCCCUGGGGCUCAACCCUAGGAAGUGCAUUCGAAACUUCCGAGCUGGAGUGCUGGAGAGGAAGGGCGGGAAUUCUCGGUGUAGAGGUGAAAUUCGUAGAUAUCGAGAGGAACACCCGGUGGCGAAGGCGGCCUUCUGGGCAGUGACUGACGCUGAGACGCGAAAGCGUGGGGGGAGCAAACAGG
rnacentral:rRNA from 1 species